GCGGCAGCCUAACACAUGCAAGUCGAACGGUAACUUUUGGUGCUUGCACCGAAAGACGAGUGGCGAACGGGUGCGUAACGCGUAUGCAAUCUGCCUUUUACUAGGGUAUAGCCCAGAGAAAUUUGGAUUAAUCCCCUAUAACAUCAUUUUUCCGCAUGGUUAAAUGAUUAAAGCUUCGGCGGUAAAAGAUGAGCAUGCGUCUUAUUAGUUUGUAGGUGAGGUAACGGCUCACCUAGACUACGAUAGGUAGGGGCCCUGAGAGGGGGACCCCCCACACUGGUACUGAGACACGGACCAGACUCCUACGGGAGGCAGCAGUGAGGAAUAUUGGACAAUGGACGAAAGUCUGAUCCAGCUAUGCCGCGUGCAGGAUGACGGCCCUACGGGUUGUAAACUGCUUUUAUACAGGAAGAAAUACCCCGACGUGUCGGGGCUUGACGGUACUGUAAGAAUAAGGAUCGGCUAACUCCGUGCCAGCAGCCGCGGUAAUACGGAGGAUUCGAGCGUUAUCCGGAAUCAUUGGGUUUAAAGGGUCCGUAGGCGGUUUUUUAAGUCAGAGGUGAAAUCCUGCAGCUCAACUGUAGAAUUGCCUUUGAAACUGAAAGACUUGAGUUAUUGUGAAGUGGUUAGAAUGUGUGGUGUAGCGGUGAAAUGCAUAGAUAUCACACAGAAUACCAAUUGCGAAGGCAGAUCACUAACAAUAUACUGACGCUCAGGGACGAAAGCGUGGGUAGCGAACAGGAUUAGAUACCCUGGUAGUCCACGCCGUAAACGAUGGAUACUAGCUGUAUGUCUACCUCAGGUAGAUGUGUGGCCAAGCGAAAGUGAUAAGUAUCCC
rnacentral:rRNA from 1 species